rnacentral:rRNA from 1 species
UUUAAAUUAAUUUUUUUAAUCAAAUUAUUAUAAGUUAUGUUCUUUAAAAUUUAAAAAUUUGGCGGUAUUUUAGUCUUUUCAGAGGAACCUGUUCUGUAAAUGAUAAUCCACGAUUAAUUUUACUUAAUUUAUUAGUUUGUAUAUCGUUGUUUAAAGAAAAUUUUAUUAGAAGUUUAAUUUUCGUAAAAUUUAAUUUUAUAGUAAAUCAAAUCAAGGUGCAGUUUAUAAUUAAGGAGAAAUGGGUUACAUUAUAUUUAUAUGUGAAUAAUAAAUUGAAAAUUAAUUUGAAUUUGGAUUUGAAAGUAAUUAAUUAAAUAUAUUUUUAAUGAUUAAAGCUCUAAAAUAUGU